rnacentral:pre_miRNA from 1 species
AAAGUACUCCCUCCGUCCCAAAAUUCUUGUCUUAGAUUUGUCUAGAUACAGAUGUAUCAAGUCACAUUUUAGUAUUAGAUACAUCCGUAUCUAGACAAAUCUUAGACAAGAAAUUUGGGACAGAGGGAGUAGUUG